UCUGAUGUUAGCGGCGGACGGGUGAGUAACACGUGGAUAACCUACCUAUAAGACUGGGAUAACUUCGGGAAACCGGAGCUAAUACCGGAUAAUAUUUUGAACCGCAUGGUUCAAAAGUGAAAGACGGUCUUGCUGUCACUUAUAGAUGGAUCCGCGCUGCAUUAGCUAGUUGGUAAGGUAACGGCUUACCAAGGCAACGAUGCAUAGCCGACCUGAGAGGGUGAUCGGCCACACUGGAACUGAGACACGGUCCAGACUCCUACGGGAGGCAGCAGUAGGGAAUCUUCCGCAAUGGGCGAAAGCCUGACGGAGCAACGCCGCGUGAGUGAUGAAGGUCUUCGGAUCGUAAAACUCUGUUAUUAGGGAAGAACAUAUGUGUAAGUAACUGUGCACAUCUUGACGGUACCUAAUCAGAAAGCCACGGCUAACUACGUGCCAGCAGCCGCGGUAAUACGUAGGUGGCAAGCGUUAUCCGGAAUUAUUGGGCGUAAAGCGCGCGUAGGCGGUUUUUUAAGUCUGAUGUGAAAGCCCACGGCUCAACCGUGGAGGGUCAUUGGAAACUGGAAAACUUGAGUGCAGAAGAGGAAAGUGGAAUUCCAUGUGUAGCGGUGAAAUGCGCAGAGAUAUGGAGGAACACCAGUGGCGAAGGCGACUUUCUGGUCUGUAACUGACGCUUAUGUGCGAAAGCGUGGGGAUCAAACAGGAUUAGAUACCCUGGUAGUCCACGCCGUAAACGAUGAGUGCUAAGUGUUAGGGGGUUUCCGCCCCUUAGUGCUGCAGCUAACGCAUUAAGCACUCCGCCUGGGGAGUACGACCGCAAGGUUGAAACUCAAAGGAAUUGACGGGGACCCGCACAAGCGGUGGAGCAUGUGGUUUAAUUCGAAGCAACGCGAAGAACCUUACCAAAUCUUGACAUCCUUUGACAACUCUAGAGAUAGAGCCUUCCCCUUCGGGGGACAAAGUGACAGGUGGUGCAUGGUUGUCGUCAGCUCGUGUCGUG
rnacentral:rRNA from 1 species